AUUCCCGUGGUUCAUAGAGAGACUGUUUUUCCUCGCCGGUUCGUCUACGAUGUGUCGAAAGCAGCAGUCGAAAAACUGCUAGAAACAAAUCAAAGCAAACAGUCGUAGACAAGUGCUGCGAUUGUUUUCCUUGAGAAUUGAAGUGAAAAUAUCGUUACUAAGCAGCCGAAACUAUAAUCAACAAGUCUUAGAAAAGUUUCAUAUGGUUUUUUCUUGCGGAGGAGCAGAACCUAUUCGAGUUUCGCUAGGUAAUUCUUAGAACUUCUUUUCCAAAUAUGGUCAACAUACCUGGAGAUGAAGAAAUCAUUCCACAGCAGGUUCAUAUCUUCCUCCAGCAUGAUACGACUUGUGGCCUUAAUACCGGGAGAAGGCUGCCCGCAACUUGACAUCCCGCCUAAUGAAGUCCCCUAGCUCCUGAAACUAUGAAGAAAAGUGAAUUUAUGGUAUUCAAACGCGCGCUUCUGUCAGCCACGGUUGGCUUGAUUUCCUUCUUUCGUUUGUGGACGUCCAGCUUCUAGGUGAAACUUCAGAAAGGCGCGAGUUCGGUUCCGGAUCCCACCAUCGGCGUUUCGAUCGACUUUUGCAAAUAAAGAUCAGCACUCUUGGCAACGCUUCCCCAUUGACCGGAUGCUUCUAGACGAUGAAUUGCUCACAGCGCCCGGUUUCAUUCAUACUGGAACGGGUUAAACGAGAAAGAAAUCGAACAGUAUCUAGUUAUGAUCUUAUUUGUGAUUGUUUUAUCUGAUCUAAUACAGCUACACCUGCUGCACAAAGUGGACCUGCUAAGACUUUCGGAAGAAUGAAUACAUUUU